GACGAACGCUGGCGGCGUGCUUAACACAUGCAAGUCGAACGGAAAGGCCCUGCUUUUGUGGGGUGCUCGAGUGGCGAACGGGUGAGUAACACGUGAGUAUCCUGCCCUUGUCUUUGGGAUAACUUUAGGAAACUGGGGCUAAUACCGGAUAGGAGCUCCUGCUGCAUGGUGGGGGAUGGAAAGAUUCGGCGGUUGGGGAUGGACUCGCGGCUUAUCAGCUUGUUGGUGGGGUAGUGGCUUACCAAGGCUUUGACGGGUAGCCGGCCUGAGAGGGUGACCGGGCACAUUGGGACUGCGAUACGGCCCAGACUCCUACGGGAGGCAGCAGUGGAGAAUAUUGCACAAUGGGCGGAAGCCUGAUGCAGCAACGCCGCGUGCGGGAUGACGGCCUUCGGGUUGUAAACCGCUUUCGACUGUGACGAAGAGUGAGUGACGGUAAUGGGUAAAGAAGCAACGGCUAACUACGUG
rnacentral:rRNA from 1 species